GAUGAACGCUAGCUACAGGCUUAACACAUGCAAGUCGAGGGGUAGAAGUUGCCUGCAACUUUGAGACCGGCGCACGGGUGCGUAACGCGUAUGCAAUCCACCUUAUACAGAGGGAUAGCCCAGAGAAAUUUGGAUUAAUACCUCAUAGUAUAAUUGAAUGGCAUCAUUUAAUUAUUAAAGUUCCAACGGUAUAAGAUGAGCAUGCGUCCUAUUAGCUAGAUGGUAAGGUAACGGCUUACCAUGGCAACGAUAGGUAGGGGUCCUGAGAGGGAGAUCCCCCACACUGGUACUGAGACACGGACCAGACUCCUACGGGAGGCAGCAGUGAGGAAUAUUGGACAAUGGGCGCAAGCCUGAUCCAGCCAUGCCGCGUGUGUGAAGAAGGUCUUCGGAUUGUAAAGCACUUUAAGUCGGGAGGAAGGGCUGCAGGUUAAUACCUUGCAGCCUUGACGUUACCGACAGAAUAAGCACCGGCUAACUUCGUGCCAGCCGCCGCGGUAA
rnacentral:rRNA from 1 species